GAUGAACGCUAGCGGCAGGCUUAACACAUGCAAGUCGAGGGGUAGAGGGAGCUUGCUUCCUUGAGACCGGCGCACGGGUGCGUAACGCGUAUGCAACCUACCUUUUACAGAGGGAUAGCCCAGAGAAAUUUGGAUUAAUACCUCAUAGUAUAUGUUUUUCGCAUGUUAGACAUAUUAAAGUUCCAACGGUAAAAGAUGGGCAUGCGUCCUAUUAGCUAGAUGGUAAGGUAACGGCUUACCAUGGCAACGAUAGGUAGGGGUCCUGAGAGGGAGAUCCCCCACACUGGUACUGAGACACGGACCAGACUCCUACGGGAGGCAGCAGUGAGGAAUAUUGGACAAUGGGCGCAAGCCUGAUCCAGCCAUGCCGCGUGCAGGAAGAAGCAUCUAUGGUGUGUAAACUGCUUUUGUACGGGAAGAAACACUCCUUCGUGAAGGAGCUUGACGGUACCGUAAGAAUAAGCACCGGCUAACUACGUGCCAGCCGCCGCAGUAACAC
rnacentral:rRNA from 1 species